GAACGCUGGCGGCAGGCUUAACACAUGCAAGUCGAGCGGAAACGAAGGUAGCUUGCUACCAGACGUCGAGCGGCGGACGGGUGAGUAAUGCUUAGGAAUCUACCGAGUAGUGGGGGAUAGCCAUUGGAAACGAUGAUUAAUACCGCAUAUAUCCUACGGGGGAAAGCAGGGGACCUUCGGGCCUUGCGCUAUUCGAUGAGCCUGAGUGAGAUUAGCUAGUUGGUGGGGUAAAGGCCUACCAAGGCGACGAUCUCUAGCUGGUCUGAGAGGAUGAUCAGCCACACUGGGACUGAGACACGGCCCAGACUCCUACGGGAGGCAGCAGUGGGGAAUAUUGCACAAUGGACGAAAGUCUGAUGCAGCCAUGCCGCGUGUGUGAAGAAGGCCUUCGGGUUGUAAAGCACUUUCAGCGAGGAGGAAAGGUCAGUAAGUAAUAUUUGCUGGCUGUGACGUUACUCGCAGAAGAAGCACCGGCUAAUUUAGUGCCAGCAGCCGCGGUAAUACUAAAGGUGCAAGCGUUAAUCGGAAUUACUGGGCGUAAAGCGCGCGUAGGUGGUUUGUUAAGUUGGAUGUGAAAGCCCAGGGCUCAACCUUGGAACUGCAUUCAAAACUGACUCACUAGAGUACGAGAGAGGUUAGUGGAAUUUCCUGUGUAGCGGUGAAAUGCGUAGAGAUGGGAAGGAACACCAGUGGCGAAGCGACUGACUGGCUCGAUACUGA
rnacentral:rRNA from 1 species